UCGGCGGUAGCGCAGCUUGGUAGCGCAACUGGUUGGGACAGUGGGUCCGGAGAGUUCGAAUCCUCCUCGCCGAC
rnacentral:tRNA from 1 species